UGAGCUGUCCUCUACAUCCAAGCACUGCCUCUGACCUGCCAAAUAAUGAGCUGUCCUCUACAUCCAAGCACUGCCUCUGACCUGCCAAAUAAUGAGUGUUUGUCAGAGGCUGCUCACAAGAUUGAGAGAGGAAGAAGAAGAAGAAGAAGAGGAGGAUUAUUCUUCACCAUGUCAACAUGAUUGCGUGAAUGAAGAUCGCAAUCAGAUGAAUGUGUUAAUCCCUGGGAAAAAAAGAAAAAAAAAGAAGAAGAAGAGGUGAAAGUUCUCCCGCCCUCAGGCUCCAGUUUCCAUGGAAACCGUGGUUCUCGUUUAAAAAACUCCGCCCUAAUGACAGACUCCUGUUUUUGACCCCGAGAUGAAGAAGUGACCCUCGUUUUAAUCUGACUGAAAGGCGAGAGAGAGGGAGGGAGGGAGAGAGAGAGAGAGGGAAAACAGCAGGAUGAGAGGAGAAGUGUAAGCAGGAGGAGGA